AUGUAACUUAAUUUGCAUAUGGGAGGGACUUAUAUGGUAGGUGUAUAACUCAGAGCGAGGGCUCUGAAAAAAAGUGUGUGUGUUUCGCGGACGGCUCCGGCUUAUGAUACUGUUGUAUUAAAAGUCUACAUUGAUUUUCAUAAAGUUCUUGGAUGUGUCAUUUUUUAACCGAUUUGCCACUACAGACUUGGCGAGCGUUGCCAGGAGUGAUGAGAGACCGGGGCGUUCCUGGCUGACGGCGGGGUCUUUUGAGCGAUCUGGCAAACACGGGUGGCCACCUAACUAUAGCAAGGAGAAGAGUACAUAAGACGCCAGAUGGAAGGGCAUGGGCUGAAUUCUGGAGACUGAGUGUACAUCAAGAUACACCAGGCUGGGGAUAUACUUCUUACAGCACCUGCAGUGGUAAAGAUCGUCAUGUCUCUCUUUGAUGGGUGCAUAAGUUUCACAAGAAGUAAGGUCCAGCUGAAUAAUGGAAAGAAGGCAGAAACCUGAACCAGGACGAGAGGUUCCACAUCUGAUGAUCCAAGGAGACCAGAAGGCCCUCUCCCAGUGAUACCAGGAGAUCCAGUCUACGGUCGAGUGUUCCGAAGGAAGUGGGAUCAGCCGAGGAGAGAAGGACCCUACGAGGUGGCAACGGCCACAAUCACGGCCGUCCAAGUGAAAGGAAGCAAGACGUGGUAUCAUCUAAACCACUGCACCCGAGUCCCGACGGAGAGAAGGACACAACCAUACAGAGAUGAGGACACAGAGGAUGCUGAUUCACCAGAGGGGACCCCGGAGGGAGCAGGAGCAGAGGAAUCGAUCAAAGCCCCGGGGAGGACUCAAGAAAAUGGCAGACCAGAUACAACGAGUGCAUCAGCUAACACACUCAGAAGAAGCACCAGGGGAAAAGAGCCUGAAAAGAAAAGAGCCUGAAAAGAAAAGAGACAAACGACCAAAGUUUCCUCCAGUAUGGCCAGAAAGCCCAGAAGUGGGAGGGGGUAACAUGUCUGCCACUCCUGAUGAUAUACCUGUUGGGGCAGGCCUCUUUGACAGAAGCACUCUACAGAGGGGCUCCGAGGUAUUGCCUAAAGAAUGGGAACAUCUCUUCCCUGAAAUGGACACCUUCCAAAUGGAAGCCCAGUCCGGCCUGAGGAGGGAGCUUCAGGGGAGGAAAGAAGGAGAGACCCCACUAACGAGAAGGAAAAGUCGAGUGAGCUGAAGAAAAUGGCAAUUUCCCCAAAAAUUGACUUUUCAGCUCUUACCUGAUCUCCAUAAUGAACCAUUGGAAUUAGGACCACGAAAGAACAGUGACAAUGACAGAAUAAGAGCGACUGAGGACAAUACGAAGAUGAUGCACGCACUCACAAUCAAGAUAAAAGAUAAAAGCAGGAAGAGAAGAGAGGAGCCUGUCGAACGAGGUAAAAAGACAGGACCUGUUGAUAGGUUUAAAUUUCAUGUUCCCUCACAACUUCUAACAGAACCAGGGGAACAGAGGACAGGUUCUGUAUGGAAGAAGAAACCUGUACCGGAGGAGCCACUCUGUGGAUGGACGCGUCAUAUAACAAAGGGAGAAGCUGUUUGGGACCUCAAAGGAUGUGACCUGACACUAACCAAAUAUGUGAAAGGCUGGGAGUUUAUCAUGAACAAGAUGACACCAGCAGAAGGUGAAGAAUUUGAAAUUGAAAUAACAAGAACAGGACUGAGUGAAGGAAACAGUUACGAAUAUGUUAAAUUGGGUCCUAUGCCAGCACCUGAACAAAAAACGAUUUGCCACUACACUAGGGAGACAGAGAGAGGUGGUAACCACACAGAGACACAGAGAGAGAGAGAUGACACCUCCUAGGGAGACAGAGAGAGGUGGUAACCACACAUCACAGACACAGAGAGAGAGAUGAUGACACCUCCUAGGGAGAGAGAGGUGGUAACCAUACAGAGAGAGAUGACACCUCCUAGGGAGACAGAGAGAGGUGGUAACCACACAUCACAGACACAGAGAGAGAUGAUGACACCUCCUAGGGAGAGAGAGGUGGUAACCAGACAUCAGAGACACAGAGAGAGAGAGAGAGAGAGAGAGAGAGAGAGAGAGAUGAUAACCACACAGAGACACAGAGAGAGAGAUGACACCUCCAAGGGAGACAGAGAGAGGUGGUAAACACACAUCAGAGACAGACGGAGGGCUCUGGAUGGAUAGGCAAAGGAUGGC
ensembl:lncRNA